UACGUAGGCAGCAAGCGUUGUUCGGAAUUACUGGGCGUAAAGAGUGUGUAGGCGGUGCUCUAAGUUCGGUGUGAAAUCUCCCGGCUCAACUGGGAGGGUGCGCCGGAAACUGGGGUGCUGGAGCGCGGGAGAGGAAAGCGGAAUUCCUGGUGUAGCGGUGAAAUGCGUAGAUAUCGAGGAGGAACACCGGCGGUGUGACGAGAC
rnacentral:rRNA from 1 species